rnacentral:rRNA from 1 species
UACGUAGGCAGCGAGCGUUGUUCGGAGUUACUGGGCGUAAAGGGUGUGUAGGCGGUUGUUUAAGUUUGGUGUGAAAUCUCCCGGCUCAACUGGGAGGGUGCGCCGAAUACUGAAUGACUAGAGUGCGGGAGAGGAAAGUGGAAUUCCCGGUGUAGUGGUGGAAUGCGUAGAUAUCGGGGAGGAACACCAGUGGCGAAGGCGGUUGCCUGGGGCUUUGCUGGACGCUGAUGCGCGAAAGCGUGGGGAGCGAGUCCGG